GACGAACGCUGGCGGCGUGCUUAACACAUGCAAGUCGAACGGAAAGGCCCUGCUUUUGUGGGGUGCUCGAGUGGCGAACGGGUGAGUAACACGUGAGUAACCUGCCCUUGACUUUGGGAUAACUUCAGGAAACUGGGGCUAAUACCGGAUAGGAGCUCCUGCUGCGUGGUGGGGGUUGGAAAGUUUCGGCGGUUGGGGAUGGACUCGCGGCUUAUCAGCUUGUUGGUGGGGUAGUGGCUUACCAAGGCUUUGACGGGUAGCCGGCCUGAGAGGGUGACCGGCCACAUUGGGACUGAGAUACGGCCCAGACUCCUACGGGAGGCAGCAGUGGGGAAUAUUGCACAAUGGGCGGAAGCCUGAUGCAGCAACGCCGCGUGCGGGAUGACGGCCUUCGGGUUGUAAACCGCUUUCGCCUGUGACGAAGCGUGAGUGACGGUAAUGGGUAAAGAAGCACCGGCUAACUACGUGCCAGCAGCCGCGGUGAUACGUAGGGUGCGAGCGUUGUCCGGAUUUAUUGGGCGUAAAGGGCUCGUAGGUGGUUGAUCGCGUCGGAAGUGUAAUCUUGGGGCUUAACCCUGAGCGUGCUUUCGAUACGGGUUGACUUGAGGAAGGUAGGGGAGAAUGGAAUUCCUGGUGGAGCGGUGGAAUGCGCAGAUAUCAGGAGGAACACCAGUGGCGAAGGCGGUUCUCUGGGCCUUUCCUGACGCUGAGGAGCGAAAGCGUGGGGAGCGAACAGGCUUAGAUACCCCGGUAGUCCACGCUGUAAACGGUGGGUACUAGGUGUGGGGUCCAUUCCACGGGUUCCGUGCCGUAGCUAACGCUUUAAGUACCCCGCCUGGGGAGUACGGCCGCAAGGCUAAAACUCAAAGGAAUUGACGGGGCCCCGCACAAGCGGCGGAGCAUGCGGAUUAAUUCGAUGCAACGCGUAGAACCUUACCUGGGUUUGACAUGGAUCGGGAGUGCUCAGAGAUGGGUGUGCCUCUUUUGGGGUCGGUUCACAGGUGGUGCAUGCCUGUCGUCAGCUCGUGUCGUGAGAUGUUGGGUUAAGUCCCGCAACGAGCGCAACCCUUGUUCACUGUUGCCAGCACGUUAUGGUGGGGACUCAGUGGAGACCGCCGGGGUCAACUCGGAGGAAGGUGGGGAUGACGUCAAGUCCUCAUGCCCCUUAUGUCCAGGGCUUCACGCAUGCUACAAUGGCUGGUACAGAGAGUGGCGAGCCUGUGAGGGUGAGCGAAUCUCGGAAAGCCGGUCUCAGUUCGGAUUGGGGUCUGCAACUCGACCUCAUGAAGUCGGAGUCGCUAGUAAUCGCAGAUCAGCAACGCUGCGGUGAAUACGUUCCCGGGGCU
rnacentral:rRNA from 1 species